rnacentral:rRNA from 1 species
AAUAGAUACCCAGGUAGUCCAUGCCGUAAACGUUGGGCACUAGGUGUGGGGGACAUUCCACGUUUUCCGCGCCGUAGCUAACGCAUUAAGUGCCCCGCCUGGGGAGUACGGCCGCNAAGGCUAAAACUCAAAGGAAUUGACGGGGGCCCGCACAAGCGGCGGAGCAUGCGGAUUAAUUCGAUGCAACGCGAAGAACCUUACCAAGGCUUGACAUGGACCGGACCCGGGNCUGGAAACAGUCUUUCCCCUUUUGGGGCUGGUUUACAGGUGGUGCAUGGUUGUCGUCAGCUCGUGUCGUGAGAUGUUGGGUUAAGUCCCGCAACGAGCGCAACCCUCGUUCUAUGUUGCCAGCACGUGAUGGUGGGGACUCAUAGGAGACUGCCGGGGUCAACUCGGAGGAAGGUGGGGACGACGUCAAAUCAUCAUGCCCCUUAUGUCUUGGGUCUUCACGCAUGCUACAAUGGCCGGUACAAAGGGUUGCGAUACUGUGAGGUGGAGCUAAUCCCAAAAAGCCGGUCUCAGUUCGGAUUGGGGUCUGCAACUCGACCCC